UGGGGAAUAUUGGACAAUGGGCGAAAGCCUGAUUCAGCCAUGCCGCGUGUGUGAAGAAGGCCUUUUGGUUGUAAAGCACUUUAAGCGAGGAGGAGGCUACUUGGAUUAAUACUCUAGGAUAGUGGACGUUACUCGCAGAAUAAGCACCGGCUAACUCUGUGCCAGCAGCCGCGGUAAUACAGAGGGUGCGAGCGUUAAUCGGAUUUACUGUGCGUAAAGCGUGCGUAGGCGGCUUCUUAAGUCGGAUGUGAAAUCCCUGAGCUUAACUUAGGAAUUGCAUUCGAUACUGGGAAGCUAGAGUAUGGGAGAGGAUGGUAGAAUUCCAGGUGUAGCGGUGAAAUGCGUAGAGAUCUGGAGGAAUACCGAUGGCGAAGGCAGCCAUCUGGCCUAAUACUGACGCUGAGGUACGAAAGCAUGGGGAGCAAACAGG
rnacentral:rRNA from 1 species